rnacentral:rRNA from 1 species
GAUGAACGCUGGCGGCGUGCCUAAUACAUGCAAGUCGAGCGAACAGGCGAUGAGCUUGCUCCUCUGACGUUAGCGGCGGACGGGUGAGUAACACGUGGAUAACCUACUUAUAAGACUGGGAUAACUUCGUGAAACAGGAGAUAAUACCGGAUAAUAUAUUGUACCGCAUGGUUCAAUAGUGAAAGACGGUUUUGCUGUCACUUAUAGAUGGAUCCGCGCCGCAUUAGCUAGUUGGUAAGGUAACGGCUUACCAAGGCAACGAUGCGUAGCCGACCUGAGAGGGUGAUCGGCCACACUGGAACUGAGACACGGUCCAGACUCCUACGGGAGGCAGCAGUAGGGAAUCUUCGGCAAUGGGCGAAGGCUUGACGCAGCAACGCCGCGUGAGUGAUGAAGGUCUUCGGAUCGUAAAACUCUGUUAUUAGGGAAGAAAAAAUGUGUAAGUAACUAUGCACGUCUUGACGGUACCUAAUCAGAAAGCCACGGCUAACUACGUG